UACGAAGGGUGCAAGCGUUAAUCGGAAUUACUGGGCGUAAAGGGUGCGUAGGCGGUUAUUUAAGUCUGCCGUGAAAUCCCCGGGCUCAACCUGGGAAUGGCGGUGGAUACUGGAUAGCUAGAGUGUGUCAGAGGAUGGUGGAAUUCCCGGUGUAGCGGUGAAAUGCGUAGAGAUCGGGAGGAACAUCAGUGGCGAAGGCGGCCAUCUGGGACAACACUGACGCUGAAGCACGAAAGCGUGGGGAGCGAACAGG
rnacentral:rRNA from 1 species